rnacentral:rRNA from 1 species
CCUACGGGGGGCAGCAGUGAGGAAUAUUGGUCAAUGGACGAGAGUCUGAACCAGCCACGUAGCGUGAAGGAUGACUGCCCUAUGGGUUGUAAACUUCUUUUAUAUGGGAAUAAAACGUUCCACGUGUGGGAUUUUGUAUGUACCAUAUGAAUAAGGAUCGGCUAACUCCGUGCCAGCAGCCGCGGUAAUACGGAGGAUCCGAGCGUUAUCCGGAUUUAUUGGGUUUAAAGGGAGCGUAGGUGGAUUGUUAAGUCAGUUGUGAAAGUUUGCGGCUCAACCGUAAAAUUGCAGUUGAAACUGGCAGUCUUGAGGACAGUAGAGGUGGGCGGAAUUCGUGGUGUAGCGGUGAAAUGCUUAGAUAUCACGAAGAACUCCGAUUGCGAAGGCAGUUCACUGGACUGCAACGGACACUGAGGCUCGAAAGUGUGGGUAUCAAACAGGAUUAGAUACCCGUGUAGUC